AGCGAACGCUGGCGGCAUGCCUAAUACAUGCAAGUCGAGCGAACAGAUGAAGUGCUUGCACUUCUGACGUUAGCGGCGAACGGGUGAGUAACACGUAAGGAAUCUACCUAUAAGCGGGGGAUAACAUUCGGAAACGGGUGCUAAUACCGCAUAAUAUCUUCUUCCGCAUGGAAGAAGAUUGAAAGACGGCUCUGCUGUCACUUAUAGAUGACCUUGCGGUGCAUUAGUUAGUUGGUGGGGUAACGGCCUACCAAGACGAUGAUGCAUAGCCGACCUGAGGGGGUGAUCGGCCACAUUGGGACUGAGACACGGCCCAAACUCCUACGGGAGGCAGCAGUAGGGAAUCUUCCGCAAUGGGCGAAAGCCUGACGGAGCAAUGCCGCGUGAGUGAAGAAGGCCUUCGGGUCGUAAAACUCUGUUAUAAGGGAAGAACAAAUUGUAGAGUAACUGCUACAGUCUUGACGGUAUCUUAUCAGAAAGCCACGGCUAACUACGUGCCAGCCGCCGCCGUAA
rnacentral:rRNA from 1 species